GAAUAAAAUCAUUAGGUGACAUGGUGGCUCAGUGGGUAGCACUGUCUCUUCACAGCAAGGAGAUCACUGCUUCGAGUCUUGGCUGGGCCAGUUGGCAUUUCUGUGUGAAGUUUGCAUGUUCUCCCUGUGUUGGUGUGGGUUUCUCCGGGUGCUCCGGUUUCCCCACAGUCCAAAUAUAUGUGCUAUAGGCGAAUUGAAAAACUUAAAUUGGCCGUAGCGAUGUGUGAAUAAGCGUAAAAGCAUCUUAAAUUUAGUGUCAAAUAAUAGAAACGAUGAAUUAACAUUAAAUUGAAAAAGUCAAUCUACUCGACAUGGUUUUCACGAAACAUCAAUCUGUGUUUGGUCCUUAAAUUACCACAGCUCUGUUUUGCUCUUGAUGUGUAGAUUUCAUAGAAAGGUGAAACUAUUUCUCUUUCAGACCUUCAUCCCCCAUGUGUCGUCACCGAGCUGCCAGGAGGCCGAUAGCCAACUGCUAACGUUUGAUUGAAUUAUCCCUCAACAUGAUGUGGCAGUAAACUGUUAUUCCUCCAUCUUACCAGCCCUCCACCGUCUCGCCCCUGAGCGACGACUUUCAUCCUCUCUCAUUUCUCUGCUGUCAUACACACACUAGCACUCGUCUGCUACUGCGACGGUUUCGGCCUUUUGCUCAUUUAUGGCUCUGUAUUCCCGACAGGCUGUCUGAUUCCUGAGGGGAGGCCCAUGGUCGAAUUUACAGCUAUAUAUAAAUAUAUAUGAGCGUGUGGUUCUCUCAGAUUGAAAACAUAUACCUGUGACGAUUGCCUGCUAUGAAGUUCAUUCCAGGGCUAAUGCUGUUUUUCCUCCCCAUCUCGUCGGUUCUUUCAAAGAAAACGCAUCCUAUUUUAGGGCAUGAGAGAUAUAUGGUGAAGAGCGGGGUAAAUAUUUGAGAGUUAUAGCAGGCUCCGUUUCACAGAUUAAUUCAGUUGGUUUUCUUCACCGGCCAGUGUGGAGUGGAUUCACAGCUGGUAGGUUUAUUUUAGUUCAAGACUAGUGGUUUGAGCUUUUGAGGAUGCUUUUUCACUUCUGUUUUUUUGUUGCAGAUGCAGUUCUGGAAACUAAGAAUGUUCAUUGACCAAUUUCUUCAGAGACGAGUUUCAAGGAGAAUUCAUUAUCAGUUCCAGGCCCUCAACAGGAACUCCAGAAUCCCUUUAUACAUCCGUGUUUGAGUUGGAGAAACUGCUUUAUCAUCCACCAAACAGCCACCAGUCAAGCCUGCACCAUUAUGAAAGUCCACUUGCACUAUAAGACUCAAACCUCUUCAGCUUGAUCAACUCCUCUGCAAGUCUACUGACGUAUAUUGCGAGCUACUGGGCAAACUGGGAACAGCAGAAAAGCUGUCCUCACAGAGGUAAGCGGUCAGCUGGUAGCAUGUCAAGAAAUAAAAGGCGUCGUUAGCAUCAUGCCCCUUUUGUUGCGUUCAUUUAAAAG